rnacentral:lncRNA from 1 species
GCAAUAAUUAUAAAGAAAGAGGGAAAAAUUGAACCUCAAAUGUUGCAUUCGAUUAAAUUGCUCCUUUCGAUUGAAACCCCGCAAACGGAACCUCGGACCGAACCUCAACAAAAUGGCCAAAAAUCAGCUCCGUACCAAAUUAACCGCAAAAAUCCCAAAGUUCAACUCGAUAUUAAUCCGAACAAUCAAUUUUGAGAUGGUUUGGCGGCUAAUUCUAGUUUUUCCGGUGAUGGGUCUAGCUGACGCCUUUGUUUUCCGGUGAAAAAGGGUGAUUUUGGGUCAGCUAUUUGGAGAUGGUAACUGGAUUGGCGAUGGAAUGACGAUUCCGGCACAGUUUUAGCUCCAUUCACG